GGAUAUAGCUCAGUCGGUAGAGCGCAGCAAAAGAUGCUGUUGUCGCGGGUUCGAUUCCCGCUAUCC
rnacentral:tRNA from 1 species